GAUGAACGCUGGCGGCGUGCCUAAUACAUGCAAGUCGAGCGAACGGACGAGAAGCUUGCUUCUCUGAUGUUAGCGGCGGACGGGUGAGUAACACGUGGAUAACCUACCUAUAAGACUGGGAUAACUUCGGGAAACCGGAGCUAAUACCGGAUAAUAUUUUGAACCGCAUGGUUCAAAAGUAAAAGACGGUCUUGCUGUCACUUAUAGAUGGAUCCGCGCUGCAUUAGCUAGUUGGUAAGGUAACGGCUUACCAAGGCAACGAUGCAUAGCCGACCUGAGAGGGUGAUCGGCCACACUGGAACUGAGACACGGUCAAGACUCCUACGGGAGGCAGCAGUAGGGAAUCUUCCGCAAUGGGCGCAAGCCUGACGGAGCAACGCCGCGUGAGUGAUGAAGGUCUUCGGAUCGUAAAACUCUGUUAUUAGGGAAGAACAUAUGUGUAAGUAACUGUGCACAUCUUGACGGUACCUAAUCAGAAAGCCACGGCUAACUACGUG
rnacentral:rRNA from 1 species